rnacentral:rRNA from 1 species
UACGGGGGGAGCAAGCGUUGUUCGGAUUUACUGGGCGUAAAGGGCGCGUAGGCGGUCAGCACAAGUCAGUUGUGAAAUCUCCGGGCUUAACUCGGAACGGUCAACUGAUACUGUGCGACUAGAGUGCAGAAGGGGCAACUGGAAUUCUCGGUGUAGCGGUGAAAUGCGUAGAUAUCGGGAGGAACACCAGCGGCGAAGGCGGCACUCUGGGCUGGUACUGACGCUGAGGAGCGAAAGCGUGGGUAGCAAACAGG